AGCCCCCAACGCGGGCGGCAACCUUGAUCCCCUCCUUCCUCCCAGUCCCCACCGCCGCCACGAACCUGCUCCGACAAGAACUCUGCUCAAGCCCGCUCCCAUGGUUCCCGUCAUCGACAUGGACUCUUUGCCCGUUCCGCCAGCCGAAGGCACCACCUAUAGAAAAAGGACUCGAGUCGCUCGAUCCAAAUCCCGGAUCAGACCGGAUCACGGCGGCGCCACGACAGGUUGCCGGUCUGCAGUCCUCCUCACGGGACAAGCUGCGUUCGCGGUGCGCUCUUGCUGCUUGCCGGCUUCGACGGGGUGGGCCGGGACGCCGCCCUUCCGCAGAUCCGCAAUCGAGUCGUGCGUCCAAUCUGCCGCCUCCCCUCGACGUCCACGGCUCUGUGCUCUUCCGUGUUCUCUCCUAGCGCAGGCUGUGGGGGCGCUACGCCGCUAUCUGCCGGCUCCUCAUACAAGAGCGAUGGACAAACUGAGCCCUGUGGGAAACAAUUGCAUCAGCUCAGCGACGUCCAGCGUUUCUCCUCUCGAUGUUUCUUUGCACGCCUCAUCUCCAAGCAUGAAGCCACGGCGAGAUGGUCUGGUCUUGGUACUAUGUUGAUAGCAAGGGUGCAAGGCUCAAGGGAAGCAGCUGGUUCUGUAGUUCUUUGUAUGCUUAUGGUAUCUUGGAUGAGGGUUACAAAUUCAACCUGUCAGUUGAGGAAGCUGCUGAGUUAGCAUGGCGGGCUUUUAUCACAAACUAUUCUGCGACAGAGCUAGUGGUGGCUGUGUUCCUGGUGGUAUGCAUUCUGUUUCUUAGUUUCUAUCCUGAUAUUUGUUUUGUUCACUCAAUAAGCACGAUACAACAUGCAUGCAGAUUUGUUAAACACCUUGCCAUUUAUAUCUUUCUUUUGAAAUCACAUACACAACUGUUUAUUUGAGUUACUUAUUGGCGAAGUUCAGAGAUUUUUUUUCCCGUCGUGUAAUGCACACCCCUAGGUUGGGAAUAGAGAUUACCGUCAAGACGAUGGUGAUAAAUUAACCCAAACCAAACAUACAUUGUUGUAGAGUAUAGAAGGUGCUGUACAGUAUAGACAUGGGUCUAGACAUCUAGACAAACCUACCUAGAAUUUCUAAAACAAUAUAAUUAUAAUGGUACAUGUAAAUUACAUGCGUAGAUUUAUUCUUUUUGUAUCGGCUUUCAUGUUAGUAGAUUCUAAAAAAUAUGGUGUGAUGUAUAAAUAAUUAUGGUCAAAGCUACAUUUCUGGAAUUGGCAAACAUUUUCCGAAUCGCAAACAUAUUUUUUGAAUUUGUGAACAUUUAUUUAAUUCGCAAACUCUUUUUUUCAAAUUUGCCUUGGAUGUUAGUAGAUUCUAAGGAUAUGGUGUGAUGUACCCCCUCCGUCCUAAAAUUCUUGUCGUAGAUUUGUCUAGAUACAGAUGUAUCUAACACUAAAAUGUGACUAGAUACAUCUGUAUGUAGAUAAAUCUAAGACAAGAAUUUUGGGACGGAGGGAGUAUAAAGAAUUAUGGUCAAUGCUGUGUUUAGUGUUUGGGCCAUUAUUAUUUGGAAGCAGGGUAAGAAAAGAAGAUUAUCAUUUGGGCUUGAUAGAGUAUGAUUAUAUCCGACUCGGUCGUGUCUGCAUCAAACGCGUGUCCCACUUUGGAGAAGAAUACACCAACCAUUUUGGUAGCGGGCCUAUAACUCAUCUCAACAAUUCUGUUUAGGUCUCAUUCCGCUAAUACGCUAGGCAUCAUCUCCUUUCCCGUAUUUCUCUUAGUCUCACUCCCAAACACUUCACAAUCCAACUGAGGGAAUGCCAACAUCCAUGGUGGCAUUAUCCCAUUCGGCCGUUCAUGCCACUUGAGAGGAUGGAGGCUCUAGCAACAUCAUGUGAGAGGCAUCGAUGCUAGUUAUUUUGCCACCAUCCUGGCCACGACAACAAUGCCACAGAGCAUAUAGUGGAGGGUAGAGUAGGAAAGUGGUGCGACGGCGCCGCGGGAAGAGGUGUCUUCUUCCGGGCAAGUGUUAGGCAGAUAGACAAGACUCCCAACAAAAUGUCGAUAAAGCGUCAGAUUAGACAAUGGAUCAACAUCAGUAGCACAUAUAGUGGAGGGUAGAGUAGGAAAGUGGAGCGACGGCGCCGCGGGAAGAGGUGCACUCGAACGGGGGGCACUACAGUCUGUUUCUUCUUCCGGGCGAGUGUCAGGCAGAUAGAAAAGACUCCCAACAAAAUGUCGAUAAAGUCUUAGAUUAGACAAUGAAUCAACAUCAGUAGAAGGAGGUGAACAUUGAGUUCUAUGGGAGUCUCAACAAUGCGCUCAUCGGUAAGAGCAGCACGAGUAAGAUCCUGGAUUAUUAUUUUUGAGCAAGAAGGGACCUCAAUCCCAAGAAAGUAGCAGAGAGAGCCAAGAUAAGACAUAAGAAACUGCAUAACAUGCCUUCACAAAGGCAAUAUACUCAUGGUUUGCGUCGGUGAUGAUCAUGUCAUCAACAUGAAAAAGAGUCCUACCAAGAGCAGAAAGGAGGGCAAACAACGUCGGAUCUUGAGCACUCGCUGAAAACCAGCAACAUCCACCAUAGAGGCAAAACGUUCAAACCAGGCACGAGAGGCUUGCUUAAAGCCAUAGAGAGAGCGAUGAAGACGACUAAGCAUGUCGUAAGGAGUAGAAUACCCAGGUGGUGGUUGUAUGUAAACCUCCUCACGCAACUCACUAUUAAGAAAGGAAUUCUUAACAUCAAGCCUAUACACGAACCAGUGGCGAACAGAGGCCACAAGCAUACGGUUUUGCAGGAGCAAAAGUCUCAUCGUAAUCAGGACCAUGCUCCUGCUGAAAGCCAUGACCCACAAGACAAAUUUUUCUAAUGCUCAAGAGAACCAUCAGAGUGAGUCCUAACCUUGUAGUCCCACCAAGUGAUGGGACGAUCACGAGGAGGAACAUAAACAAUAUCCCACGUGCUGAUGCACUCAAGAGCAGCAACCUCCUGUGUCAUCACAAGGUGCCAUUUGGUAUGGACAACAUCACAACAAGUCGGCUCAAGCACAGCAACGCCAACGCUUGGAAGACCAAGGCGGUCAACAGGCCGAAGCGGACGAGGACGCAAGCCAUAAGUAGGUUGAGACGGGGAAGAUGGCACAUCAGUAGACGCAUCGACAACAUGCAGACGACCUAUAUAGAAGUUAGGAAAAAAAUUGGAAGAAUACGAGCUGGAAUCAUCGGGGGAUAAACUGAGGUGAUGAAGACAAGGAAGCCACCGGUUAUGAAGGUGUAGAAUCAUGUGAAAUAAUCAGAGAAGCAUAAGCAGUACAACUACUGGAUCAGGGCUCAAUAGGAGUGGUAGGAAUGUCAGGAAAAUUGUGGGAAGAGAUAUACUCCACUUAAAAGGCCAAAGAAGAUGGACGCGGGUCAUAUCCUAAGAAAUAGGCAUCCGACGACCAACAUGAUCCCAACAACGAUAUUCCUUAUGCUCAUCGUUGUAUCUUAAGAGGACACACUCAACAGACCGAGAAGUCAGUUUGGUGCGUUCACGAGGGGCAAGAAGGACCUAGCAAUCACAAACAAAAAAUUGAAGCGCCGAAUAACCAAUCAAAUAGACGAUCGAAAGAAGCAUCACCCUGCAGAGCAGUGGAUUGCUCCAGGUUGUUGAGAUAGAUGGAAGUGGAGACAGACUCGGCCCAAAAGUGCAGUGAAACAGAGGUGGUGACCAUCAAUGGAGGAGCCGUCUCAAGAAGGUGACGACGCUUGCGCUCAGCCACACCAUUUUGAGCAUGAGUACCAGAAUAAGAGAACCAAAGUCUGCCCAGCAAGGAUUCCACACAACAGCUUGGAGAUACUCUCCACUAGAGUUACCAUAGAACACAUGAAUAGGCGUAGAGAAUUGAGUGUGGACCAUGGCAGCAAAAGGCUUAUAGAUAAGACCUUACUACGAGAAGAAAUAAAGUAUAUCCAGGUGUGUCGAGAGAAGUCACUAGCGGAGGCAAAGGGAGAUGAUCCCUCGAGAUCAAAGUAACAAAGUCUAAAGGAUGCUGAGACACUGUCUCGCCAUGAGUAUAAGGUAACUGGACCAUGUAUUAGAGAUAUCAUCGGAGACGGAUCCAAGAAGAUCGUCUCGAACUAAGGAUGAGAGAUCACAAGUGACCCAAGGUGAUGAUGCCACUCUUGAAAAUAUCUGGUAGAUAGGGCAACAGAGGCAGAGACUAGCGGCACUCGCAGUAGAGGGACUUGAUCCGGCAUCCCACUUACCUGUGCACUCUCCGUACCCCGCCGAUCUGGUUAGGUGUUCCUUUCCUGUUUGCGGGUUGUGUGCCACGUGCUUGAUUAAGCACCCUGGGUUCUCCUACUGUGCGCCCUUGGCCUUGACUUUUGGUAGCGCCUGUCCUCGGCUCGUCUCGUGCAUAAUCCAGGUACGCGUCGACUGUCCGAGCUCCUGCUCACCAUUGGUGGUGCUUGAGCGUGCGGUUAUGGUGUCACACAUAAAGGGAACACGGGAUGUGGGAUUGAGACAGUGCUUGUAGCAACCCGCAGAAAGGCAAAGGAUGCCCAUCAAGGCUGGUAGGGAGCGAAGGUGGUCACAAAGGUGGACGUUGCUAGUGAUGAUCCUGGUGCCAGUGAUGAUCGACAUGUACAAGUGUUCGACCACGAGCCUUCACCAAGGCAAUGUACUUAGAGUCGUUGCCAGUGAUGACCGACAUGUAGAAGAAGUGUUCAACCACGAGUCGAAUGGUGGACCAAAAGUGUAGGAUAAUGAGCACUCGCCUAAAACUAGCCGCAAUCACCACUGAGACGAAGCGCUCAAAGCAGGCAUGAGGGUUUUGCUUAGGGCCAUAUAGACAGCGACGAAGACGACAAAACCAUGCCAUUAGGAAGAGAACCGAGGUGGUGGCUAGUUGUAGGCAUUCUUGACAUCAAGCUGAGAGACAGACUAGCGGCGAAUAGAAGCCACAUUGAGAAGUGUGGGAAGAAUGGUCAAGUGGCCCAUAUAUAUAGGACUAAAUGUCUCUUCGUAGUCAUGACCAUGUUCUCACCACUAAACAAGCUUUCUUAUGCUCAAGAGUAUCAUCAGUUUAAGCCUGGUAGACCCACUUACAAGUGAUGAGACGAGAACGAGGAGGAAGGGAAAUGAGAUUCCACGUGCCGAUGCGGGCAAGAGCAUCAAUCUUCGAUGCCAUCACAUGCAGCCAUUUGGGAUGAACAAUCUCACGGCAAGAAGUUGUCUUGGGAAGAGCCGAGCAGUAACCAUAGCAGUCAAUAGGCAGAAGCGGGCGAGCUCGAAAAGCAUAAUUAGGCUAAGCAGGAGGCGGUGCGUUUCCAACGAAAGAAGAUAUACUAGUCGAGGGAGAUGGCUUAUCAGAAGAAUCCACAACACGCGGACCAUGCGUGUAGUAAAGUCGAGGAACAUGAGCAAAAGAAGGAACAUAUAAAAAGACAAAGUGAGUCAUAACAUUCCCACCAAGUGAUGGGACGAACACGAGGAGGAAGAGAAAGAAUAUUGCACGUGCCGAUGCGCUCAAGAUCAACAAUCUUCUCUGCCAUCGCAAGAUGCCAUUUGGUAUGAAUAACAUCACGAUAAGAAGUCAGAUCAAGAACACGAGUGCCAACGCUUGGAAUACCAAGGUGGUUGACAGGCGGAAGCGGACGAGGAAGCAGGCCAUAAGUAGGCCGAGAGGGCAAGUGGCACAUCAGUAGACACAUUCACAACACGCGGACGAUGUAUAUAGAAGUGAGGAAAAGAUGGAAGAAUACGAGCAGAAAUCAUCGAGAUGAACUCAGGUGAUGGAGACAAGGAAGCCAAAACUGAUGAAGGUGUAGAAUCCUGUGAUAAGCGAGAUGAGGAAAUCAUAGGAGAUGAUGGCAUUGGAUAUGCAAUUAUGGGAGAAGCAAGAGCAUUACAAUGAAUGGAUAAGGGAGUCACAGGAGUGUUGGAUUAAAAAAAAAAGAAAUCUCCUCCAUUGAAAAGGUCGAGGAAGAUGGACGCGGGUAGAAGGGAUGAGACUUAUCAAAAGUCAUAUCCCGAGAAGUAGGCAUCCGACGCCCAACAUGAUCCCUUAUGCUCAUCGUUGUAUCCUAAGAAGACACACUCAACGCACUGAGCAAUCAGUUUGGUGCGUUCAUGUGGGCAAGGACAUAACAAACACAACCAAACAAUUGAAGCACUGAAUAAUCAGGAAAGAAUCAAAUAGACGGCCAAAAGGAGCGCCACCUUGCAGAGCAAUGGAUUGCUUUGCUAAAGGAAGAUGGGAUAGAUGGAAGUGGAGACAGACUCGGCUCAAAAGUGUGGUGAAAGAGAGGCGGUGACCAGCAAUGAAGGAGCUGUCUCAAGAAGGUGACGAUGCUUGCGCUCAGCCACGCCAUUUUGAGCAUGAGCACCAGGAUAAGAGAACCAAAGUCUGCUCAGCAAGGAUUCCAUGCAACAGCUUGGAGAUAUACUCUCCACCAGAGUCACCAUAGAGCACAUGAAUAGGCGUAGAGAAUUGAGUGUGAACCAUGGCAGCAAAAGGCUUAUAGAUAAGACCUCAGUACGAGAAGAAAUAAAGUAUAUAUCCAGGUGUGUUGAGAGAAGUCACUAGCGGAGGCACAUGGAGAAGAUCCCUUGAGAUCAGAGAACAAGGAUGAGAGAUUUGGUAACCGGACCAUGUAUUAGAGACAUCAUCGGAGAUGGAUCCAAGAAGAUCAUGUCAAACUAAGGAUGAGAGAUCACAAGUGACCCAAGGUGAUGAUGCCACUCUUGAAAAUAUUUGGUAGACAAGGCAACAGAGGCAGAGACUGGCGGCACUGGCAAUAGAGGGACUUGAUCCGACAUCCCAUUUGCCUGUGCACUCUUCGUACCCCGCCAAUCUGGCUAGGUGUUCCUUUCCUGUUUGCGGGUUGUGUGCCAUGUGCUUGAUUAAGCACCCUGGGUUCUCCUACUAUGAGCCCUAGGCCUUGACUUUUGGUAGCGCCUGUCCUCGGCCCGUCUCGUGCAUAAUCCAGGUAUGCGUCGACUGUCCGAGCUCCUGCUCCCCAUUGGUGGUGCUUGAGCGUGCGGUUAUGGUGUCACACAUAAAGGGAACACAAGAUGUGGGAUUGAGACAGUGCUUGUAACAACCCGCAGAAAGGCAAAGGAUGCCCAUCAAGACUGGUAGGGAGCGAAGGUGGUCACAAAGGUGGACGUUGCUAGUGAUGAUCCUGGUGCCAGUGAUGAUCGACAUGUAGAAGAAGUGUUCGACCACGAGUUGAACGGUGGACUGCAAGUGUAGGAUAAUUUGCACUCGCCAAAAACUAGCCGCAAUCACCACUGAGACGUAGCACUCAAAGCAGGCAUGAGGGUUUUGCUUAGGGCCAUAUAGACAACGACGAAGACGACAAACCAUGCCAUUAGGAAGAGAACCGAGGUGGUGGCUAGUUGUAGGCUUUCUUGACAUCAAGCUGAGAGACAGACUAGCGGCGAAUAGAAAGCCACAUUGAGAAGUGUGCGAAGAGUGGUCAAGUGGGCCAUAUAUAUAGGAGAAAAUGUCUCUUCGUAGUCAUGACCAUGUUCUCACCACUAAACAAACUUUGUUAUGCUGAAGAGUAUCAUCAGUCUUAGCCUUGUAGACCCACUUACAAGUGAUGAGACGAGAACGAGGAAGGGAAAUGAGAUUCCACGUGCCGAUGCGGGCAAGAGCACCAAGCUACGAUGCCAUCACAUGCAACCAUUUGGGAUGAACAACCUCAUGGCAAGAAGUUGUCUCGGGAAGAGCUGAGCAGUAACCAUAGCGGUCGAGCUCGAAAAGCAUAAGUAGGCUAAGCUGGAGGCGGUGCGUUUCCAAUGAAAGAAGAUAUACUAGACGAGGGAGAUGGCUUAUCAGAAGAAUCCAUACACACGCGGACCAUGAGUGUAGUAAAGUCGAGGAACAUGAGCAAAAGAAGGAACAUAUAAAAAGUCAAAGUGAUUCAUAACAUUCCCACCAAGUGAUGGGACGACGAACAUUAGGAGGAAGAGAAAGAAUAUUGCAUGUGAGGAUGCGCUCAAGAUCAACAAUAUUCUUUGCCAUGGCAAAAUGCCAUUUGGUAUGAAUAACAUCACGAUAAGAAGUCAGAUCAAGAACACGAGUGGCAACGCUUGGAUGACCAAGGCGGUUAACAGGCGGAAGCGGACGAGGAAGCAAGCCAUAAGUAGGCCGAGAGGGCAAGUGGCACAUCAGUAGACACAUUCACAACACGCGGGUGAUGUAUAUAGAAGUGAGGAAAAGAUGGAAGAAUACGAGCAGAAACCAUCGAGAUAAACUCAGGUGAUGGAGACAAGGAAGCCAAUACUAAUGAAGGUGUAGAAUCCUGUGAUAAGCGAGGUGAGGAAAUCAUAGGAGAUGAUGGCAUUGGAUCUGCAAUUAUAGGAGAAGCAGGAGCAUUACAAUGAAUGGAUUAGGGAGUCACAGGAGUGUUGGAUUGAAAAAAAGAAGAGAUCUCCAUUGAAAAGGUCGAGAAAGAUGGACGUGGGUAGAAGGGAUGAGACUUAUCAAAAGUCAUAUCCCGAGAAAGUAGGCAUCCGACGCCCAACAUGAUCCCUUAUCAUCAUCGUUAUAUCCUAAGAAGACACUCAACGCACUGAGCAGUCAGUUUGGUGCAUUCACGUGGGCAAGGACAUAACAAACACAACCAAACAAUUAAAGCAUUGAAUAAUCAGGAAAGAAUCAAAUAGACGGUCAAAAGGAGCGCCACCCUGCAGAGCAAUGGAUUGCUUUGCUAAAGGAAGAUGUGAUAGAUGGAAAUGGAGACAGACUCGGCUCAAAAGUGUGGUGAAAGAGAGGCGGUGACCAGCAAUGGAGGAGCUGUCUCAAGAAGGUGACGAUGCUUGCGCUUAGCCACGCCAUUUUAAGCAUGAGCACCAGGAUAAGAGAACCAAAGUCUGCUCAGCAAGGAUUACAUGCAACAGCUUGGUGAUAUACUCUCCACCAGAGUCACCGUAGAACCCAUGAAUAGGCGUAGAGAAUUGGGUGUGAACCAUGGCCGCAAAAGGCUUAUAGAUAAGACCUCAGUGCGAGAAGAAAUAAAGUAUAUAUCCAGGUGUGUUGAGAGAAGUCACUAGCGGAGGCAAAGGGAGAAGAUCCCUCGAGAUCAGAGAACAAGGAUGAGAGAUGAGGUAACCGGACCACGUAUUAGAGACAUCAUCGGAGACGGAUCCAAGAAGAUCACGUCAAACUAAGGAUGAGAGAUCACAAGUGACCCAAGGUGAUGAUGCCACUCUUGAAAAUAUUUAGUAGACAAGGCAACGGAGGCAGAGACUGGCGGCACUGGCAAUAGAGGGACUUGAUCCGCCAUCCCAUUUGCCUGUGCACUCUUUGUACCCCGCCAAUCUGGCUAGGUGUUCCUUUCCUGUUUGCGGGUUGUGUGCCACGUGCUUGAUUAAGCACCCCGGGUUCUCCUACUGUGCGCCCUAGGCCUUGACUUUUGGUAGCGCCUGUCCUCGGCCCGUCUCGUGCAUAAUACAGGCACGCGUCGACUGUCCGAGCUACUACUCCCCAAUGGUGGUGCUCGAGCGUGCGGUUAUGGUGUCACACAUAAAGGGAACACAAGAUGUGGGAUUGAGACAGUGCUUGUAGCAACUCGCAGAAUGUUAAAGGAUGCCCAUCAAGACUGGUAGGGAGCGAAGGUGGUCACAAUGGUGGAUGUUGCUAGUGAUGAUCCCGGUGCCCGUGAUGAUCGACAUGUAGAAGUGUUCGACCACGAGCCUUCACCAAGGCAACGUACUUAGAGUCGUUGCCACUGAUGACCGACAUGUAGAAGAAGUGUUCGACCACGAGUUGAAUGGUGGACCGAAAGUGUAGGAUAAUGAGCACUCGCCAAAAACUAGACGCAAUCACCACUGAGACGAAGCGCUCAAAGCAAGCAUGAGGGGUUUGCUUAGGGCCAUAAGACAUCGACGAACAUGACAAACCAUGCCAUUAGGAAGAGAACCGAGGUGGUGGCUAGUUGUAGGCUUUCUUGACAUCAAGUUGAGAGACAGACUAGCGGCGAAUCCAAAGCCACAUUAGGACGUGUGCGAAGAGUGGUCAUGUGGGCCAUAUAUAUAGGAGAAAAUGUCUCUUCGUAGUCAUGACCAUGUUCUCACCACUAAACAAGCUUUGUUAUGCUCAAGAGUAUCAUCAGUCUUGGCCUUGUAGACCCACUUACACAUGAUGAGACGAGAACGAAAAGGAAGGGAAAUGAGAUUCCACGUACCGAUGCGGGCAAGAGCACCAAGCUACGAUGCCAUCACAUGCAGCCAUUUGGGAUGAUCAACCUCACGACAAGUUGUCUCGGGAAGAGCUGAGCAGUAACCAUAGCGGUCAAUAGGCAGAAGCGGGCGAGCUCGAAAAGCAUAAGUAGGCUAAGCUUGAGGCGGUGCGUUUCCAACGAAAGAAGAUAUAAUAGUCGAGGGAGAUGGCUUAUCAGAAUAAUCCACAACACACGGACCAUGAGUGUAGUAAAGUCGAGGAACAUGGGCAAAAGAAGGAACAUCUAAAAAGUCAAAGUGAGUCAUAACAUUCCCACCAAGUGAUGGGACGAACACGAGGAGGAAGAGAAAGAAUAUCGCACGUGCCGAUGCGCUCAAGAUCAACAAUCUUCUCUGCCAUCGCAAGAUGCCAUUUGGUAUGAAUAACAUCAGGAUAAGAAGUCAGAUCAAGAACACGAGUGCCAACGCGUGGAAUACCAAGGCGGUUAACAGGCGGAAGCGGACGAGGAAGCAAGCCAUAAGUAGGCCGAGAGGGCAAGUGGCACAUCAGUAGACACAUUCACAACACGCGGACGAUGUAUAUGGAAGUGAGGAAAAGAUGGAAGAAUACGAGCAUAAAUCAUCGAGAUAAACUCAGGUGAUGGAGACAAGGAAGCCAAAAUUGAUGAAGGUGUAGAUUCCUGUGAUAAGCGAGGUGAGGAAAUCAUAGGAGAUGAUGACAUUGGAUCUGCAAUGAUGGGAGAAGUAGGAGCAUUACAAUGAAUGGAUAAGGGACUCACAGUAGUGUUGGAUUAAAAAAAAGAAGUGAUCUCCUCCAUUGAAAAGGUCGAGGAAGAUGGACGCGGGUAGAAGGGAUGAGACUCAUCAAAAGUCAUCUCCCGACAAGUAGGCAUCCGACGCCCAACAUGAUCCCUUAUGCUCAUCGUUAUAUCCUAAGAAGAUAACAAAGGUGGUCACAAAGGUGGAUGUUGCUAGUGAUGAUCCUGGUGCCAGUGAUGAUCGACAUGUACAAGAAGUGUUCGACCACGAGUUGAACGGUGGACUGAAAGUGUAGGAUAAUGAGCACUCGCCAGAAACUAGCCGCAAUCACCACUGAGACGAAGCGCUCAAAGCAGGCAUGAGGGUUUUGCUUAGGGCCAUAUAGACAACGACGAAGAUGACAAACCAUGUCAUUAGGAAGAGAACCGAGGUGGUGCCUAGUUGUAGGCUUUCUUGACAUCAAGCUGAGAGAUAGACUAGCGGCGAAUAGAAAGCCACAUUAGGAAGUGUGCGAAGAGUGGUCAAGUGGGCCAUAUAUAGGAGAAAAUGUCUCUUCAUAGUCAUGACCAUGUUCUCACCACUAAACAAGCUUUGUUAUGCUGAAGAGUAUCAUCAGUCUUAGCCUUGUAGACCCACUUACAAGUGAUGAGACGAGAACGAGGAGGAAGGGAAAUGAGAUUCGACGUGCCGAUGCGGGCAAGAGCACCAAGCUACGAUGCCAUCACAAGCAACCAUUUGGGAUGAACAACCUCAUGGCAAGAAGUUGUCUCGGGAAGAGCUGAGCAGUAACCAUAGCGGUCGAGCUCGAAAAGCAUAAGUAGGCUAAGCUGGAGGCGGUGCGUUUCCAACGAAAGAAGAUAUACUAGACGCGGGAGAUGGCUUAUCAGAAGAAUCCAUAACACGCGGACCAUGAGUGUAGUAAAGUCGAGGAACAUGAGCAAAAGAAGGAACAUAUAAAAAGUCAAAGUGAGUCAUAACAUUCCCACCAAGUGAUGGGACGACGAACAUGAGGAGGAAGAGAAAGAAUAUUGCAUCUGAGGAUGCGCUCAAGAUCAACAAUAUUCAUUGCCAUGGCAAAAUGCCAUUUGGUAUGAAUAACAUCACGAUAAGAAGUCAGGUCAAGAACACGACUGCCAACGCUUGGAAGACCAAGGCGGCUAACAGGCGGAAGCGGACGAGGAAGCAAGCCAUAAGUAGGCCGAGAGGGAAAGUGGCACAUCAAUAGACACAUUCACAACACGCGGACGAUCUAUAUAGAAGUGAGGAAAAGAUGGAAGAAUACGAGCAGAAAUCAUCAAGAUAAACUCAGGUGAUGGAGACAAGGAAGCCAAAACUGAUGAAGGUGUAGAAUCCCGUGAUAAGCGAGGUGAGGAAAUCAUAGGAGAUGAUGACAUUGGAUCUGCAAUGAUGGGAGAAGUAGGAGCAUUACAAUGAAUGGAUAAGGGACUCACAGUAGUGUUGGAUUAAAAAAAAGAAGUGAUCUCCUCCAUUGAAAAGGUCGAGGAAGAUGGACGCGGGUAGAAGGGAUGAGACUCAUCAAAAGUCAUCUCCCGACAAGUAGGCAUCCGACGCCCAACAUGAUCCCUUAUGCUCAUCGUUAUAUCCUAAGAAGAUACACUCAACGCACUGAGCAGUCAGUUUGGUGCGUUCAUGUGGGCAAGGACAUAACAAACACAACCAAACAAUUGAAGCCCUGAAUAAUCAAGAAAGAAUCAAAUAGACGGUCGAAAGGAGCGCCACCCUACAGAGCAAUGGAUUGCUUUGCUAUAGGAAGAUGAGAUAGAUGGAAGUGGAGACAGACUCGGCUCGAAAGUGUGGUGAAAGAGAGGCGGUGAUCGGCAAUGGAGGAGCUGUCUCAAGAAGGUGACGAUGCUUGCGCUCAGCCAUGCCAUUUUGAGCAUGAGCACCAGGAUGAGAGAACCAAAGUCCGCUCAUCAAGGAUUCCAUGCAACAGCUUGGAGAUAUACUCUCCACCAGAGUCACCAUAGAACACAUGAAUAGGCGUAGAGAAUUGAGUGUGAACCAUGGCAGCAAAAGGCUUAUAGAUAAGACCUCAGUACGAGAAGAAAUAAAGUUUAUAUCCAGGUGUGUUGAGAGAAGUCACUAGCGGAGGCAAAGGGAGAAGAUCCCUCGAGACCAGAGAACAAGGAUGAGAGAUGAGGUAACCGGUCCACGUAUUAGAUACAUCAUCGGAGAUGGAUCCAAGAAGAUCACGUCAAACUAAGGAUGACAGAUCACAAGUGACCCAAGGUGAUGAUGCCACUCUUGAAAAUAUUUGGUAGACAAGGCAACAGAGGCAGAGACUGGCGGCACUGGCAAUAGAGGGACUUGAUCCGGCAUCCAACUUGCCUGUGCACUCUUCAUACCCCGCCGAUCUGGCUAGGUGUUCCUUUCCUGUUUGCGGGUUGUGUGCCACGUGCUUGAUUAAGCACCCCGGGUUCUGCCACUGUGCGCCCUUGGCCUUGACAUUUAGUAGCGCCUGUCCUCGGCCCGUCUCGUGCAUAAUCCAUGUUUGCGUCGAUUGUCCGAGCUCCUGCUCCCCAUUGGUGGUGCUCAAGCGUGCGAUUAUGGUGUCACACAUAAAGGGAACACAAGAUGUGUGAUUGAGACAGUGCUUGUAGCAUCCCGCAGAAAGGCAAAGGAUGCCCAUCAAGACUGGUAGGGAGCGAAGGUGGUCACAGAGGUGGACGUUGCUAGUGAUGAUCCCGGUGCCAGUGAUGAUCGACAUGUAGAAGUGUUCGACCACGAGCCUUCAACAAGGCAAUGUACUUAGAGUCGUUGCCAGUGAUGACCGAUAUGUAGAAGAAGUGUUCGACCAUGAGUUAAAUGGUGGACCGAAAGUGUAGAAUAAUGAGCACUCGCCAAAAACUAGCCGCAAUCACCACUGAGAUGAAGCGCUCAAAGCAAGCAUGAGGGGUUUGCUUAGGGCCAUAUAGAUAGCGACGAAGACGACAAACCAUGCCAUUUGGAAGAGAACCGAGGUGGUGGCUAGUUGUAGGCUGUCUUGACAUCAAGUUGAGAGACAGACUAGCGGCGAAUAGAAAGCCACAUUGAGAAGUGUGCGAAGAGUGGUCAUGUGGGCCAUAUAUAUAGGAGAAAUUGUCUCUUCGUAGUCAUGACCAUGUUCUCACGAGUAAACAAGCUUUGUUAUGCUCAAGAGUAUCAUCAGUCUUAGCCUUGUAGACCCACUUACAAGUGAUGAGAUGAGAACGAGGAGGAAGGGAAAUGAGAUUCCACGUACCGAUGCGGGCAAGAGCACCAAGCUAUGAUGCCAUCACAUGCAGCCUUUUGGGAUGAAUAACCUCACGGCAAGAAGUUGUCUCGGGAAGAGCUGAGUAGUAACCAUAGCGGUCAAUAGGCAGAAGCGGGCGAGCUCAAAAAGCAUAAGUAGGCUAAGCUUGAGGCGGUGUGUUUCCAACAAAAGAAGAUAUAAUAGUCGAGGGAGAUGGCUUAUCAGAAGAAUCCACAACACGCGGACCAUGAGUGUAGUAAAGUCGAGGAACAUGAGCAAAAGAAGGAACAUAUAAAAAGUCAAAGUGAGUCAUAACAUUCCCACCAAGUGAUGGGACGAACAUGAGGAGGAAGAGAAACAAUAUCACACGUGUCGAUGUGCUCAAGAUCAACAAUCUUCUCUGCCAUCGCAAGAUGCCAUUUGGUAUGAAUAACAUCACGAUAAGAAGUCGGCUCAAGAACACGAGUGCCAAAUCUUGGAAGACCAAGGCGGUUAAAAGGCGGAAGUGGACGAGGAAGCGGUACAUCAGUAGACACAUUCACAACAUGCGGAUGAUGUAUACAGAAGUGAGGAAAAGAUGGAAGAAUACGAGCAGAAAUCAUCGGGAUAAACUCAGGUGAUGGAGACAAGGAAGCCAAAACUGACGAAGGUGUAGAAUCCUGUGAUAAGCGAGGUGAGGAAAUCAUAGGACAUGAUGACAUUGGAUCUGCAAUUAUAGGAGAAGCAUGAGAAGUCCAAUGAAUGGAUAAGGGAGUGACAAGAGUGUUGGAUUAAAAAAAAGAUCGACAUUGAAAAGGUCGAGGAAGAUGGACGCGGGUAGAAGGGAUGAGACUCAUCAAAAGUCAUAUCCAGAGAAAUAGGCAUCCGACACCCAACAUGAUCCCUUAUGCUCAUCGUUGUAUCCUUAGAAGACACACUCAACGGACUGAGCAGUCAGUUUAGUGCGUUCACGUGGGCAAGGACAUAACAAACACAACCAAACAAUUGAAGCGCUGAAUAAUCAGGAAAGAAUCAAAUAGACGGUCGAAAGGAGCGCCACCCUGUAGAGCAAUGGAUUGCUUUGCUGAAGGUUGAUUAGAUGGAAGUGGAGACAUACUCGGCCCAAAAGGGUGGUGAAAGAGAGGCGGUGACCAUCAAUGGAGGAGCCGUCUCAAGAAGGUGACGAUGCUUGCGCUCGGCCACGCCAUUUUGAGCAUGAGCACCAGGAUAAGAGAAUCAAAGUCUGCUCAGCAAGGAUUCCAUGCAACAACUUGGAGAUAUACUCUCCACCAGAGUCACCAUAGAACACAUGAAUAGGCGUAGAGAAUUGAGUGUGAACCAUGGCAGCACAAGGCUUAUACAUAAGACUUCAGUACGAGAAGAAAUAAAGUAUAUAUCCAGGUGUGUUGAGAGAAGUCACUAGCGGAGGCAAAGGGAGAGGAAGAUCCCUCGAGAUCAGAGUGAACAAGGAUGAGAGAUGAGGUAACUGGACCACGUAUUAGAGACAUCAUCGGAGAUGGAUCCAAGAAAACCACAUCAAACUAAGGAUGAGAGAUCACAAGUGACCCAAGGUGAUGAUGCCACUCUUGAAAAUAUCUGGUACACAAGGCAACAGAGGCAGAGACUGGCGGCACUGGCAAUACAGGGACUUGAUCCGGCAUCCCACUUGCCUGUGCACUCUUCGUACCCCACCGAUCUGGCUAGGUGUUCCUUUCCUCUUUGCGGGUUGUGUGCCACGUUCUUGAUUAAGCACCCCGGGUUCUCCUACUGUGCGCCCUUGGCCUUGACUUUUGGUAGCGCGUGUUCUCGGCUCGUCUCGUGCAUAAUCCAGGUACGCGUCGACUGUCCGAGCUCCUGCUCACCAUUGGUGGUGGUCGUGCGUGCGGUUAUGGUGUCACACAUAAAGGGAACACGGGAUGUGGGAUUGAGACAGUGCUUGGAGCAACCCGCAGAAAAGCAAAGGAUGCCCAUCAAGACUGGUAGGGAGCGAAGGUGGUCACAAAGGUGGACGUUGCUAGUGAUGAUCCUGGUGCCAGUGAUGAUCGACAUGUAGAAGAAGUGUUCGACCACGAGCCUUCACCAAGGCAAUGUACUUAAGAGUCGUUGCCAGAGAUGAUUGACUUGUAGAAGAAGUGUUUGAUCAUGGGUUGAAUGGUGGACCGAAAGUUUAGGAUAAUGAGCACUCGCCAAGAAGAUAAUGUCGAACUAAGGAUGAGAGAUCACAAGUGACGCAAGGCAAUGAUGCCACUCUUGAAAAUAUCUGGUAGACAAGGCAACAGAGGCAGAGACUGGCGGCACUGGCAGUAGAGGGACUUGAUCCGGCAUCCCACUUGCUUCUUCGUACCCUGCCGAUCUGGUUGGGUGUUCUUUUCCUGUUUGUGGGUUGUCGUCGGCUCGUCCCGUGCAUAAUCCAGGUACGCGUCGACUGUCCGAGCUCCUGCUCACCAUUGGUGGUGCUUGAGUGUGCGAUUAUGGUGUCACACAAAAAGGGAACACGGGAUGUGGCAUUGAAACAGUGCUCAUAGCAACCCGCAACAAGGCAAAGGAUGCCCAUCCAGGUAGGGAGCGGAGGUGGUCACAAAGGUGGACGUUGACUCCAUAGGAGUCUCAACCGUGCGGACAUAAGAAAUUCACUGUGACGAGCCUUCACCAAGGCAAUGUACUUAGAGUCGUUGCUAGUGAUGAUCGACAUGUAGAAGAAGUGUUCAAUCACGAGUUGAAUGGUGGACUGAAAGUGUAGGAUAACGAGCAAAAGAAGAUAUAAUAGUCGACGGAGAUGGCUUAUCAGAAGAAUCCACAACAUGUGGACCAUGAGUGUAGUGAGUCGAGUUACAUGAGCAAAAGAAGAAACAUAUAAAAAGUCAAAGUGAGUCAUAACAUUCCCACCAAGUGAUGGGACGAACACGAGGAGGAAGAGAAACAAUAUCUGAUGAGGAAAAAAACCGUAUGUCAGAUUUGUUUGACUACUUCUAGAUGCUUCCACUCUAGUGUAGUAUUUCUUUUGUUUUCUUUUCUACCCUACCUACUGUUUUCUAGAGUCUUCUAGUUGUGAGUAGCUAUGAGUAGAAUGGUGAAACUUACAUAAUGUUUUCUAGAGUAUUCUAGCUAUAAGUAGAAGUAUGUGAAGGCUUCCCGUAGCCCUAUAAAUAGAGGUCCUCACCUACUUUGUACCAGACUAUGUACCCACUACCUGUAAUAGAACUUGUUGUUCUUAUCUAAGAUCUUGGAGUAGAUCUUGUGCCCUAGGAGUUCUGGAUUGAAUUCUUGCUGCCCUAUCGGCCUACAUCCGCCUCUAGAGCGAUAUCUAGCACAACACGUUGAAGCUGUUCCUUCAACACUUUUGUUGUACACAUUGUAGCAGCAAGGUGGAGUUGCUCCUCCACAAUCUUUGUGCUGCUUCAGGUGGCAUCAGAGCCUCGUUGACCCAGACUAUAGUUCUUGUUGUUCUCUUCGAGGGCAAGCUGCAGCAAGUAAUGGAGCAAUUGGAGAAGAGGAUGGAUGCUGCAGAAUAACAAAUCAAAGAGCUGCGUGAAGAUCUUAAUCGGAGACUUGACCAGCUGGUUGAGAUGAUAAGAAAGGGUGUUCCCCCUGCUACCAAUGAAGGAGAUUCAUCUAAAGAAGAAGAUGUUCAUCAAAGAAGGAGAGGUAAUCUUGGAGCAAGACCGCCACAACAACGUGCUGUUCAACGUGCUUCAAGAAGGCCAAUUUAUGUUGGAACUUCUGAAGGUGAAGAAUAUGAUGAAGCCCUUGAAGAAGCUGAUCUCUAUGCAUAUCGGAGAGUACCCAACCCUACAUAUGCAAGGGAUACAUACAAGGUGAAAGCUGAGAUCCCAACUUUUAAUGGAAAUGUUGAUAUUGAAGGGUGCCUAGAUUGGUUAUAUGAAGUGGAGACUUUCUUUGAGGUCAUGGAGGUUCCGGAAGAUCGUAGAGUCCCUUUGGUCGCAUACAAGCUGAAAGGAGGAGUCGGUGCAUGGUGGCAUCGCGUUCAAGAAGAGCGUAGGCUGAGAGGAGAACCUCGUGUGAGAACUUGGCGGCAAAUGAAAAGUCUCUUGAAAGGGAGAUUUUUGCCUGCUGAUUAUGACCAGAUCCUAUUUAUCCAAUUUCAAAAUUGUGCUCAAGGAAAUAGAACUGUUUCAGAUUAUACGGAGGAGUUUCUAAGGCUACAAGUGAGGUGCAACCUUGCUGAAACUGAAGAUCAACAAGUUGCAAGGUACAUCAAUGGUCUCAAUGAUGCUAUUCAAGAUUGAUGAUGCUGCAGAUCAAGCACAAGCUCUAGCCUUAAAAGCCGAGAGGUUUGUGAGGACAAGAAAGGCAACUAAGGCUCCAUAUCCUCCAUAUCCUCAUACCGAAGGCAUGUCUAGGAGUCAGCCUAAUAGUGGAAGAAAAGACCGCUCCACCAAAGGCAAAAUGACCCAUCCAGAAGUAAACUAGAGGCAAGGGUAAGUCCAAUGAAGGCCCAAAAUCCUAUAAAUGUGGUGAAGAGGGACACAUAUCCAGCGGUUGCCCACUAAGGAAAUUUGUUAACACAACUAUCCAUGAUGGUGAAGGCGAUGAGGAAGAAUAUGAAUCUGAAGAUGUAGAGGGACAAGAAGUUUGUCAAGAAGAAGGUGAAGAGGUGGUAUGUGUGAUUCAGCGCCUCCUAUGCUCCACACCACAACCUGAAGACAAACAAAGGAAGAAAAUAUUUGAGAGCAAAUGCACAGUGAAUGGCAUGCAAGUUAGUGAUUGAUAGUUGCAGCUGCGAGAAUCUUAUCCCCCAGAACUUGGUGAGCCAUUUAAAGCUUGAUACUCAUGAUCAUCCAAACCCCUACACUAUUGGGUGGAUCAAGAAAGGAGUGCAUAUGAGGAUCACCAAACAAUGCAACUUGCCACUUCCCUUGGGCAAGCAUUAUCGCUCAAAUGUGUUGUAUGACAUAGUUGAUAUGGACGCUAGCCAUGUUCUUCUUGGGAGACCUUGGCAAUUUGAUGUGGAUACUACACACAAGGGCAAGGAAAACUCUUGCUCUUUCAUUUGGAACAAGAGAAAGAUCAUUAUCUUACCAAACAAAACCGAAGGUAAUACCUCUAAGGAGGAAGGGAAAACUAUGUUAACUAUCUCCCAUACCUCUCAUGAGUUUAUGGAAGGCUUGAAGGAGGCAGAUUUGUGUGUUGCACUUGUUGUAAAACGAGAAGAGCACCUGACUAUUGAAAUUCCAGCAAAGGUACGUGGUUUAUUGGUAGAAUUUCAGAACAUACUUGGAGAGCCACAAGGCUUUUUUUAAGGUUAGCCACAAGGCUUGCCGCCGAUGAGAGGAAUUCAACAUAGAAUUGACUUAAUUCUGGGAGCAAGUCUUCCUAAUCUUCCAGACUAUCGAAUGAGCCCAAAGGAGCAUGAUAUAUUGAAGGAGCAACAAUCACCUCUGCCAUCGCAAGGAGCCAUUUGGUAUGAAUAACAUCAUGAUAAGAAGUCAGCUCAAGAACAUCAGCGCGAACGCUUGGAAGACCAAGGCGGUUAACAGGCGGAAGCGAACGAGGAAGCAAGCCAUAAGUAGGCUAGGAGGGGAAGUGGCACAUCAGUAGACACAUUCACAACACGCGGACUAUGUAUAUAAAAGUGAGGAAAAGAUGGAAGAAUACGAGCAAAAAUCAUCGUGAUAAACUCAGGUGAUGGAGACAAGGAAGCCACAACUGAUGAAGGUGUAGAAUCCUGUGAUAAGCGAGGUGAGGAAAUCAUAGGAGAUGAUGGCAUUCGAUCUGCAAUUAUCGAAGAAGCAGGAGCAGUACAACGAAUGGAUAAGGGAGUGAUAGGAGUGUUGGAUUUAAAAAAAAAGAGAUUUCCUCCAUUGAAUGGGUCGAGGAAGAUGGACGCAGGUGACUCAAGGCGAUGAUGCGAGUGCUGAAAAUAGCUGGUAGGCAAGGCAACAGAGUUUGAGACCGGCGGCGAUAGCAGCAAAGGGACUUGAUCCAGCAUCCCACGUGCCUAUGCACUCUCCCUACCCUACCGAUUUGGCUUGGUGUUCUUCUCCUGUUUGCGGGUUGUGUGCCAUGCACUUGAUUAAGCACCCCAGGUUCUACUAUGCGCCCUUGGUCCUGGCUUUAGGUAGCGGCUUGUCCCGUGCAUAAUCCAGGUACGCGUCAACUAUUCAAGCUCUUGCUAUGGUGUCGCGCAACAAGGGAACACGGGAUGUAAGAUUGAGACAGUGCUCAUAGCAACCCACAGCAAGGCAAAUGAUGCCCAUCAAGAUUGACAUGGAGCGAAGGUGGGCACAAAGGUGGACGUUGACUCCACAUGAGUCUCAACAGUGCGCUCAUUAGUAAGUGCAGCACGAGCAAGAUCCUGGAUAUACUUUUCUUUGGCAAUAAUGAACAAUCUCAAGGAAGUAGCGAAGAGGAUCAAGAUCAGACAUACGAAAUUCACUAUGACGAGCCUUCACGAAGGCAAUGUACUUAAGAGUCGUCGUGAUUGACAUGUAGACGAAGUGUUUGACCAUGAGUUGAAUGGUGGACUGAAAGUGCAGGAUCAUGAGCACUCGCCAAAAACCGGCCGCAAUCACCACUGAGACGAAGGGCUCAAACCAGGCACGAGGGGUUUGCUUAGGGCCAUAUAGACAGUGACGGAGACGACAGACCAUGCCAUUAGGAAGAGAACCCAGGUGGUGGCUACUUGUAGGCAUUCUUGACAUCAAGCUGAGAGAUAGACUAGCGGCGAAUAGAAGCCAUAUUGAGAAGUGUGCGAAGAGUGGUCAUGUGGGCCAUAUAUAUAGGAGCAAAUGUCUCAUCGUAGUCAUGACCAUGUUCUUACUACUAAACGAGCUUUCUAACACUCAAGAGUAUCAUCAGUCUUAACCUUGUAGACCCACUUACAAGUGACGAGACAAGCACGAGGAGGAAGGGAAAUGAGAUUCCACAUGUCGAUGCGGGCAAGAGCAUCAAUCUUCGAUGCCAUCACAUGCAGCCAUUUGAUAUGAACGACCUCGCGGUAAGAAGUCGUCUCGGGAAGAGCUGCACAGUAACCUUAGCGGUCAAUAGGCAGAAGCGGGCGAGCUGGAAAGCCAUAAGUAGGGUGAGCUGGAGGAAGUGUGUUGCCAACAAAAGAAGAUAUAAUAGUCGAGGGAGAUGGCUCAUCAGAAGAAUCCACAACAUGCGGACCACGAGUGUAGUCAAAGUGCCAAAGAGUGCCUUUACUAUCUACUGGGAGGGAAGUACCAUCGGCAGUAAGAAUAUGAAUAGGAGAAUCUGGAGGUGGAUUGGAGGACAAAUUGGAAGAAUCAUAAGUUGUAUGACCAAGGAUACAUGGAGGUGUACCUGAUAUUGUAAAGUGGUCUCUUGGUACCAUUACAGUAAGUAGCAAAACCUUGAAAACCUGUCGAUGGAGAACCAAAAGAAGCAGCUACCAGACACUAACGUCCUGUAAUCUCUAGCGUAGUCUGGGGCUCAAUGGAAGAGGUCGACGAAGAAGCAUCACGAGACGAAGAAUCACUCAAUUUUCUAGAAGCGGUCGCAGAUUGGGGAUCGUUCCAACUAGUUUUUUAGUUUCAUAUUUUAUCUGUUUUUCUCUAUCUUUUUGUUUUUUUGCCAAACCGGAAAGGUCGAGGAAGAUGGACAAAGGUAGAAGGAAGAGACUCAUCAAAAGUCAUAUCCCGAGAAAUAGGCAUCUGAGGACCAACAUGAUCCCAACAAUGAUAUCCCAUGUGCUCAUUGUUGUAUCCUAAGAAGAGACUCUACAGACUGAGUAGUUAGUUUGGUGCAUUCAUGUGGGGCAAGAAGGACAUAGCGAACAUAACCAGACAAUUGAAGUGCCGAAUAAUCAGGAAACAAUCAAAUAGACGCUUGAAAGGAGUGCCACCCCUUCAGAGCAGUGGAUUGCUGAAGAUUGAUGUGAUAGAUGGAAGUGGAGACAGACUCGACCCAAAAGUGCGGCGGAAGAGAGGUAGUGACUAUCAACGGACGAGCCGUCUCAAGAAGGUGACGAUGCUUGCACUCAACCACACCAUCGCCAUUCUGAGCAUGUGCACCAGGACAAGAGACCCGUGCAAGAUUACCUUGCUCGGUAAGGACUACAUGUAACAGCUUGGAGAUAUAUUCUCGAGCAAAGUCAGCAUAGAACACAUGAAUAGGCGUAGAGAACAGAGUGUGAACCAUGGCAGCAAAAGACAUAUCUAGAUAUGACCUCACUACGGGGAGAAAUAAAGCAUAUCAAUGUGUGUCAAGAUAAAUCGUCUAUACAUAUUCUCCAGCAGAGUCAGCAUAGAACACACGAAUAGGCGUAGAGAACUGAGUGUGAACCAUGGCAACAAAAUGUUUAUAUAUAGAUAAGACCUCACUAUGGGAGAAAUCAGGGUCAGGCUAGCAAAAUUAGAGUCCCUGUGGGAAACUCAAUCCAACAAUAGAGAAUUAAACAGGUGUAGUGUAUAUAUCAUAAUAUCUUACAUAGCAAGGAAUAUAUUCAAGAAUCAUACCUAUUCGAAGCUUGGUUGCAUAGUCUUUACUUGAAUAACAACAAUCUUUUAGUGUUCUUUGAAUUAAAAUCUUCAAUUAUAUCCUCGUAAUCAAUGUUCUCCAACACUUCACUCUCAAGUGCUAUUGUGGCCAAAUCAGUAACCCUUUAUUGUGUCAUUGUAGUACACAUAUAGGACUUCAAUAGCUUUAAUUUUGAAAAGCUUCUUUCUGCUGAUGCAACAGUCACAUGAAUGGUCAAUAGAACUAUGUAUGCAAUACCUGCAUUGGGAAAACAAUCAUGUCACUUUAAAAACUUUAGAAUUUCAAUUGGCCCCAUAUCAUCCUUUGGAAUGGAGUCUUUAAGUAACCUCAACUCAACUGCAGUUCAUUGGCAUCAAUGUCAGAUUUGCUAUCUUUUUUAAGGGCCGCCUCAAGAUUAUCACAAGAAGAUUUCAAGCUCUCAUUAUCCAAUGACUGCAAUGAUUUGGAAGUAAAUAAGAAACGAAAAUCUUUCUGCUAACCUCAUUGAACAUAUAAAUCACUCUAUGCAACCCGCCGUUCCAGCGCCAUCCACCGUUCAAACUGAUCAGGUACGCUCAAUCUGCCUGGCUGGCCGUGGUCAGCGUACUUUUCAUCGCCGUGGUAAACAUCCAUGCGCUCGUUCUUCUGUACUCCGCAUAACCGGGCUAGAGUGACUGACGCAUGGGCCAGCCUUGCACAUGGGCCAGCCUCGCAGCGACAACGUGUGUGCGUGCUUAUGUCCGGGUGAAAGCAGAGCGAGCAGGGUCCCGUGAAAAUAUCUCCUCUCCCGUGCUCUCCCCUCUCCGAUCCCCUCCUUCCCUCUCCUCUCCCUUGCCUUCUCACCCGUGCUCCCCCUCCCCCGAUCCCCUCCUUCCCUCCCGUCGCGCUGCCGGCUCCACGCGGCGGCCGACGCGGCCUUCUCUCCCCGGCGCUCGAGGUGCAGCAGCGGGUGCGACAGUUCUUGGUCCAGCCGGGUCGGGCGCAGGUCGCCGACAUCACACGCCGCGCGCCGUGAUUCUGCAUCGGGCGCAGAUCUUCGCCCCGCCACCUCUCCUCCUCGUCCUUCUUUCUCUCUCCCAUGCCGCCACCAUUGCAAGGAGCAGGGGAGAUAGGCGGCGAGGACAAGAAGCAGCGGGUUGGUCGCGGUGGGCUUGAGAAGCUGGGGAGAUGGAGGAGAGCAGGAGGCCGUCGUGGUUCGUCAUGGAGAUGGCGCCGCCGGCAAGAUGGUUGAGAACUGCAGCGGUGCAUUCAGCGCGGGCUGAUGUGCAGGCUUGACCUAGGCAGGUUGCUGCUCGUCGUUGCUUGUAAGCAGAGUCGUUGUGGUGGUCGGUGUCUCCUAGGCAGGUUUGUCUUCUACCUGUUUGUUGCCAAUAGUUUAUACAGCGAAACUGGCUCUUGUGUCCGGCCUGGAGUGUUGUGGCUGGUAGGGAAAGUCCAGAGGAGUCUGCUUCUAGAGGUGUCGUAAUAUGAGAGGUCAUUUGUUUGCAUGUCCGUGCAUCUUUGGAUCUAUCUGUCUGAAGAUGCUUCUUUACAGGAAACUAUACGUUCUAGCCCAGGGGUGUUCCUUUGCACUUUAACCAGUGUGAUGUUGUUUUCUUCCACUGCCUACAUGUACUCCUAUAGCCUAUUGUUUAUCCCUGCUCAGUUUGUUUUAUAUAUGUGUUUAUAUGAAAAAAUUAAUGGGGCAUCAUCUUGGUAGAUUGAGUUUGCUAGAUUAGUUUCAUGCCAUCGAAAACAACAAGCAGAUGGAGCAGGAGGGGGUGAAGGUUCCCGUCCCAUGGCCUUCACGUGUUGUGGCUGGCGGCGCUCCACUUCCUCCCCCCCGGUGAGUCGUCCUUGAUCUGAAAAAUAUUUACUCCCCGUGCUGUUUUGUUUCUUGGCAUACAGUACGGUGGUCUCAGAUGAUCCUUCAAAGGAGGCCACAGAGAGCAGCGAUUACUUCUUGGUAGUCUGCAGGGAGUUAUCGACAACAGCGAGGCACUUGGAGAAAACCAAAUCUGCACCAUGCCGAUAUGCUUCAUGACGAGCGUGCAUUUGUCAUCCCACACACUCAGAUGUCUGGUAGAAUUACUAGAAAGUAGCAGAUCUAUUCUUUAUUUGCUAUCCUAGCUUGCCGUCAGCUUACGCCAAUGACCCAAGUUGGCGGUCCUGUGAACAUGGAUUUUUAUCUAUAAAACGUGUAUUGAAAUCUUGAGAACUUCGGGCCUGACAUGUGUUCAUGCACUUGUGUAGAGGCCUGUGUGCAGAGCUAACGAGGAAAAUCCAUAGCCAUGGAUUUAGUGACUUCACAAGGAUAGCACAUAGAUGAAGACUUGCCUUUUUUUGUAUGUGAUGUGAUUUCUUCGGCAAAAGAUACCUAAUACUAUUUAUUACAGUCUAUUUGACAAAUAAAGUAUAUGAGAAGGACACACAACAGACAUUGUUAGAUGUUUCCACUUUUGUAGUUCCGUAGAUGAGAUUUCUGGCCUUCACAGGCCGUGAUAUAUCACAUAUUUGAGAAUGGGCUUUUCAUGUCUCCUUGUUAUGCUAAUUGAGACUUCAAGCUGGGGUGGAGGGGCAUGAGUCAGGAGGCCUUCCUAAUCUGACGGUACCUCCUCUUCUUCGCUGCGUCGUGGCCUCCUCCUCUUCGCCGCGUCGUCUCCCAGGCCAUCUCUUCGCAGACCAUGGGAAGGUGACGUGAGUGUGGUCGAUGGCGGCGGGCCGUUCCAAGCACUCACUUUCCAUUGAUACCGAUGACCACAGCGGGAUGGAUCCAGCCGCCAAGAUGCAGAGCGGCGGUCGAUGGCGGCAGCCUGCUCCCAAGCUGCAGGUAAGAAGGUGACGUGGCGGUGAUUGGUUUACUGCCUGCAUUUUUUGUUUGAGCAGCUUCUGUAUUAGCUUGAGCAGAUUUCUGGCCUGUGGGUUUACUGCCUGCAUUUUUUGUUUGAGCAGCUUCUGUAUUAGCUUGAGCAGAUUUCUGGCCUUCACAGGCCGUGAUAUAUCACAUAUUUGAGAAUGGGCUUUUCAUGUCUCCUUGUUAUGCUAAUUGAGACUUCAAGCUGGGGUGGAGGGGCAUGAGUCAGGAGGCCUUCCCAAUCUGACGGUACCUCCUCUUCUUCGCUGCGUCGUGGCCUCCUCCUCUUCGCCGCGUCGUCGCCCAGGCCACCUCUUCGCAGACCAUGGGAAGGUGACGUGAGUGUGGUCGAUGGCGGCGGGCCGUUCCAAGCACUCACUUUCCAUCGAUACCGAUGACCACAGCGGGAUGGAUCCAGCCGCCAAGAUGCAGAGCGGCGGUCGAUGGCGGCAGCCUGCUCCCAAGCUGCAGGUAAGAAGGUGACGUGGCGGUGAUUGGUUUACUGCCUGCAUUUUUUGUUUGAGCAGCUUCUGUAUUAGCUUGAGCUAAUGGAAUUGGAAUCUUCUGAUUGUUAGGCACAUUGCAGGUUAGUAAAUCUGAUGUGUGACACCAGUUAAAUCUUCAUCAUUAGAGAAUGAUCUUGAUACACGCACACUAUUCUUUCUCACAUACAAAAAAGUUUUUUAAGGGUCACACUUACACAUGUUGUGUUCACAUGUUAAUUGAACACUGGGUGAAUUAAAUAUAUAUCUCAACUACUUUUGAUAUUCAUGGCUAAAACUAAAUUUCUUAUUAAAUUUGCUGCCCAUGUACAUGCGGCGCUGCUUGUGGAUCUCCACAGUUCAUGACAACUUUGCUGCAACUCACAGUAGAGCUGGGAUGCCACAGACGAUUGUUGGCUGCUGGCUGCUGGAUAUCGAGUAGCAGGCCUGCUGGCUGCUGCUUGCUAUGGGCUGCCUUGUGCUAGGAAUUUCAUGGCCCUUGGAAAUUGGCCAUGUUUCCGUCGCACGAACUGCACGCCCAUGGGCCCAGGCCUGGAAGAAAUAAAAUAUAUCCAUGUGUGUUCAGAGAAAUCAUCUAUAAAGAUAAUAUACUAGUGAUGACCUCCUUCCAAGGCAAAGGGAGAUGGACCCCAGACAUCAGACUGAACAAGGUCGAAAGGACGCUUGCUCGUGCUCUUGCUCACCGAUGGUGGUGCCCGAGUGCGGUGAUGCGGCCACCUAACAAGGGAAGACAAGAUGUGGGAUCGAGGCAGCACACAUAGUAACCCACAACCAGACAAUGGAUGCCUAGCCGGACUGGUAGGGAGCGGAGGUGGAUACAAAGGUGGACUUUGAGCUUCACAGGAGUCUUAAUAGUGCGCUCAUCAGUAAGAGCAAGAAAAUCCUGGAUAUACUUCUCUUGGGAAAUAAAGAAGCCAUUAAAGGUAGAAGAAACCUCAAUGUCAAGAAAGUAAUGUACUUAGAAUCAUUGUCGGUGAUGAUCGACAUAUAGAAGAAGAGUUCGCCCACGAGUUGAAAUGUAGAAAAAAGUGCAGGAUCAUGAGCACUUGCUGAAAACCCAGCCGCAAUCACUAUUGAGAUGAAACGUUCAGACCAGACACGAGGGGUUUGCUUAAGGCCAUAUAGAGAGCGACAAAGAUGACAAACCAUGUCAUCAGGAAGAGAAGCCGCAGCGAAAAGUGUGCGAAGAGUGGUCAUGUGGGCCAUAGGGGCAAAUGUCUCAUCGUAGUCAUGACCAUGUUCCCACCACUAGACGAGCUUUGUAAUGCUCAAGAGAACCAUCAGUCUUAACCUUGUAGACCCACAUACAAGUGAUGAGACGAGCACGAGGAGGAAGGGAAAUGAGAUCCCACGCGCCAAUGCGUGAAAGAGCAUCAAUCUUCGAUGCCAUCACAUGUUGCCAUUUAGGAUGAGCAACAACGUCAUGAUAAGUCGUCUCGAGAAGAGCGGUGCUAGAAUAACCAUAGCGGUCAGUAGGCAGAAGCGGGCGAGCUUGGAAGCCAUAAGUAGGCUAAGCUGGAGGUGGUGCAUUGCCAACAGAAGAAGACAAUAGUCGAGGGAGGUGGCUCAUCAGAAGAAUUCACAACACGCGGAUGAUCAGUGUAGUAAAGAAGAUGAUGAGGGGGAAUCAAUGGGGAAGCCACAAGUUACAAAGGUGUGGGGUCUACAACAGUAGUAUGGGAAGACAAGGUGGGAUGGGUGGACGAGGGCAAUACUUGAGUGAUAGGUGUAUUUGAAAAAGUGAGGAAAUAAAUAUCCUCAAUGGGGGAGGUCAAAGGAGAGGAUGGACAGGGAUAUAAAGGACGAGACUCAUCAAAAGUCACAUCCCAAGAAAUGUGCAUCCGACGACUGACAGGAUCCCAACACAGAUAGCCCUUGCAUCAUUGUAAUCUAAGAAGACACACUCAACAGACUGAGUAGUUAGUUUUGUGCAUUCAUGGGGGGCAAAAAGAAUGUAGCAAAUACAACCAAACAAAUGAAGUGUUGAGUAGUCAAGAGAACAACCAAAAAGAUGCUUAAGAGGAAUGUCAGUCUAUAGAGCAGAGGAAGGAUUAAUGUUGAUGAGAUAGGUAGAAGUAGAAGCUACCUCAACCCAAAAGUGAGGUGGAAGAGAGGCGACAAUCAUCAACGCAUGAACCGCCUCAAGAAGGUGACGCUGCUUGCGCUCAGCAACACCCUUCUGAGCAUGAGCACCAGGACAAGAGAACUGAGGAAGUGUGCCCUGCUCAACAAGGAAUCCACCUAGCAAAUGAGAGAUGUACCUAAGGAUCCUGAAGCCGCUGAGUUCCACAUGAAGCACAGCUUGCUCCAGGCCACCAUGCAUUGCCCGUCGCUGACUAUGUUGGUCCCGCUCUAAAGGAAAACGCGAAUGUACUUCUCGACCAAUGCAAGUGAACACAGAGGCAGUUGCAUGGCGAUGGCUUGAUAGACUGGGAUGGAGAGAAGUACUAAUUUGACAAGCAUGAGCCAGCCUCUCAUGUUUAGUAGAUUCUCAAUCCAAGUGGGGAUGCAGUUGAGAACUUUGUCUAGAAGAGGCUACAUGUGGACCGUGCGAAUCUUGCACAAGGGGAGGCUAAGGUAGGUGCACUGGAGCACUGGGAAAGCACAUGCGAAGCUUAGCUUAAUCACUUAGAUCUCGGCGAUGCUGCAAUAGAUUGGUGCAAAGGAACACUUGUCAAAGUUGGUGCAUAAGCUCGACGUGCCACCAAGAUCAGGUUGCCGCACGUCGAAGACAGGACGACGGCCAUUUCGGCAUUGUACACUAACAUGAGGUGCCUGACGCCACGCCAGCACGAUGGCUCUAACAUGACAAUGUUCUUUGCAUGCACAAACAAGGCGUUGAGCACCUCCAGCACAAAGAAGAAACAACAAAGACAAAAGGGGGUCACCUUGCCACAGGCCAUGAUGGUGAAGAAUAUGCCUCUCGGGCACCCUGUUGAGGGUGUCUAUGGUAGAAUCAUCCACACCAACUCGUUGAAUCAGCUGCCAGUGCCGGUUUGCCGUGAGACCAUAGGAGGAAGGGCCAUGAGACUGAAUCGAAUGCCUUCACAGUGUCAACCUUGAGCAUGAGGGUUGCGAUGUGUCUAAUGUGCAAGCCCUUAGUGGUGAGCAUGAAGGAGCUCUGGUUUUCCUUGAUCAGUUCUGGGAGCCGAGGCAUGACGUGGAGAGCAAGCAGCUUAGAGAAAAGCCUACCAAAGGUAUGCGGCAAACAGAUCAGGUGGAAGUGCGUGACAUGGUUUGAGUUUUCUUCUCUAGCACCAAGACAAUGAGGGCAUCGUUAGGCUCGACGAGGCAACCCGGUAUAAGCAAAUAGAGCUGGUGGACGACUAGGGCAAGCUCAUCUUUGAAGAUCUCCAAAGCGAGUUGGUAAAACAACUCUACGAGGGAUAGCGCAACCCAUGAUGGACGAGUAGUCUGCCAACGUCUACUCCUUAUCCUCAUGGGUCAAGGCGACAAUAUUGUAACGGGCAAUGGCAACCAUGUGAUUUUUGCAGUGGCAGUGGCACGCAUGGAUGUAGAAGUAGCACGUGUUUGCGUCUUCCUCGGCUAGCUAGUGGAAGCGGAGGGCUGGUGGGGGAUGAUGCACUUGAGGGAGGCCAAACCAAGCAACUUAAGCUUCAACUCUUUGCGCAGAUUAAACUCCUUUUGGGACAGCUGUCAGGACUCCUGCACCGUGUUGAGCUGAAAAAUGAUUUCCUUAGCCAUGAGUUGUUGUAGCUUGAUGCUGCCAAUAUGCCGGUCGCUCCACAGCUGCAAUGUGUUGUCCAUAUGCUUCAGCAAGACAUCCAAACACUAGAGUUGGCAAAGGUGCGACGACACAUGCUAGGCAUUAGCAACCACCUGGCGGAAGCCAUCAAAAUCUGUCCAGAUAUCCUUGAAGUGGGACUAGUGAGCCCUAGGCGUGAAAAUCGUGGUGUAUAGGCUAAAUCUAAAGCCAUGGAGUAUUCGCGCAGAAAAGCAACUAGGAUGUCAUUACCCCCAAUUCGUUGAACAGAACAACCGGUCUGGCUGCACCAACGUUGGUGACCGUAGCUCGUUGCUCGAACUGUAGCGCCGCCUGAUGAGGUUGAUCUCGCGAAGCCCAAGGUCAUCAAGGAAACGGUGAAAUCUGCCCAUCUAUCUUCUUUCUAGGGUAGCGUUAUUCUUACCCGCCCCCCGCCUGCUAGAUCAAGUUGGAGUCACCGGUAACGACCCAAGGACCAGGUUGCGAGGAGCGCAACUCAGCUUUUGGAGGAAAGCAAAGCGAUUUGCAUCAGCUAAAGGACCACAUACGGUUGACAAUCACCAAGGGGUGCCUAAGGCAAACACAGAGGGCAAAGGUUCGAGUCAGUGCAGCAUUAAGGCCUCGCAAGUUUCAAGAAGACCAUGCCGAACUAAGGAUGAGAGACGAGAGUAACACAAGUAACCAAGGCGAUGAUCCCACUGCUGAAAAGAGCUGGUAGACAAGGCAACAGAGGUGGAGAGACUGGCGGCGGUGGCAACGGAGGGAAAGUGAAACCAGUCAAGCUCCCAGAGGCCCUGGGAGUUAUGACAUCUGGGGCCAGCGUGCGGAGAAUGUCAAGAGAGGUCGGGGUAGACCGAAUUUGACAUGGGAGGAGUCCAUUAAGAGAGACCUGAAGAAUUGGAGUAUCACCAAAUAACAAGCUAUGGACAGGGGUGCGUGGAAGCUUGCUAUCCAUGUCCUAGAGCCAUGAGUUGGUUGCAAGAUCUUGAGGGUUUCACCUCUAGCCUACCCCAACUUGUUUGGGACUAAAGGCUUUGUUGUUGUUGUUGUUGUUGUAGCGAGGAAAAGAAAUUUUGGACGUGGGUAUUGCGAGCUAGCCUCCCCGCAGUUUCUGGGAAGCGCGGGCUCCACUACCAGCAGCAUCGAGGUCGGAGGCGAGGGUCGAUCGGUUUCGGCCGCGAGCGGGCGGUUUUGCGUUGGGUGUCCUCGUCGGUGCUCGGCUUCAGUCGCGGAGGAAUCGGGGCCUCGACUUUGCGGCGACACAUUACAGCGUCCCUACUGUUGUGCUUCUGCUCUUGCUUGAUUCGGGGGUGGGCAUCAGCGUGUGAAAUCGACUGCAGAGGAUUCGGGCCUGGGGCAUUGUAUCUUCCUGCCGGUGGAAGGCCUGCGUCCCCUUGAGGCUGGUACGGAUUCUGGCAAGGACAGAGUUUUUCUCAGCCCUUUUUCAUUGCGUGUGCAUUCUUUAGAAUCACGUAUAUUCUUCAGUAAUGCUCCCAAAUCUCUGCUCACUCCAGAAGUCCAGCUGCAGUGCAUCACGUAAUUUUCUUGUUUAGUUGCCAUUAGCCAACUUCACAGAAUUCAAUUUGGAUUUAUUUGAACGGCAAUGUCUCGAGCUUUUGGGGAGCAACAGUAAUUACAAGCUUAGCUAGUGCCAUACCAACACUUUGCCAUUGUGAGGAUUUGCGUCCCACCUCUACCCCAAUGUCACAAGUAAAAUUAUUGUGAUUAUCCAUCUGAUGACAUGAGUAAUUUAACUUAUGUUCUGUGUUUCAUGUUGUCUGGAGCAAUGCUUGGCUCCUAGCAGUUUCCAGAUGGAUUUAUUUUCAUUGCAAUGAGAACGACUGUCAAUAUUUGCUGAAUUUUUGGUCGACUCAACCCACAAACCAAGAGGACUUAACCCUCUUCUCCUUGAUCUCCUUGAUAGUCCAGCAAUCAGCAAGUUGAAAAGAUUUAAAUCAAGGUUCCAUGAUAAUUCUUUUGAAUCUCCCUGUAAGGGCUUGACAGACCAGUUUUUAUCUGGAAGAAAGGCCUUUAGCGUGCGUUUGGAUCUGAAGAAACAAAGCAAGAUAUGGCUGUCAUUCCUCCUAACUUGGCUAGUUACUAGUAUCUCCUCGAUCCUUUAAUGAGGCAGUCUUGGCGAGUGUUUGGGCAAUAGAGAACAUAACUUGGCAAUUUCUGUACUUGUUUACUGUAUCCAUUUAUUCAGGACUAGAAGCUUAAAUUCUGAAUUUUAUAGUUCAGGAGUAACUACCUCCUGAUGUACUGGUGUAAUUUAAUAGUUUCAUCGAAUGUGAAUUAGAAUAUAUGUUGUUAACAUA